CCUACGGGAGGCAGCAGUGGGGAAUAUUGGACAAUGGGGGGAACCCUGAUCCAGCCAUGCCGCGUGUGUGAAGAAGGCCCUCGGGUUGUAAAGCACUUUCAGUGAGGAAGAACGCCUGGUGGUUAAUACCCAUCAGGAAAGACAUCACUCACAGAACAAGCACCGGCUAACUCCGUGCCAGCAGCCGCGGUAAUACGGAGGGUGCGAGCGUUAAUCGGAAUUACUGGGCGUAAAGCGCGCGUAGGUGGCUUGAUAAGCCGGUUGUGAAAGCCCCGGGCUCAACCUGGGAACGGCAUCCGGAACUGUCAAGCUAGAGUGCAGGAGAGGAAGGUAGAAUUCCCGGUGUAGCGGUGAAAUGCGUAGAGAUCGGGAGGAAUACCAGUGGCGAAGGCGGCCUUCUGGACUGACACUGACACUGAGGUGCGAAAGCGUGGGUAGCAAACAGGAUUAGAUACCCUGGUAGUC
rnacentral:rRNA from 1 species